AUCUAUGGCCAUACCACCCUCGAACAUGCCCGAUCUCGUCUGAUGUCAGAAACUAAGCUGGGUAGGGCCUGGUUAGCACUUGAAUGGGAGAAAGAUCAUUCUCAUAAAAC
ensembl:rRNA 5S_rRNA 5S ribosomal RNA